rnacentral:tRNA from 1 species
GUCUUCCUAUUAUAAAAAACAGUAUAAGUGACUUCCAAUCACUCAGUCUUGGUUAAAGUCCAAGGGAGGAUA